GUUUUUCUUCUUCAGACGCUCAAGGAAUGGUGAAUUUUCCAGUUGUUCUUUGCUGGUUCCAGUUAUGUAAAAGAUAUCCUUCUGUCCAGCUUUCAUUCUAGAUAUGUACUGAUCAAGAGAUGUCAAUUUACCCUCAGACUUGUAGUACGUUUCAAAUCUGAGCAGUUUUGAUAAACGAUUUCUGUUGGUGGCAUCCUCAAUGAUACCAAGUUUAAUGGAUUUUCCAAACUCAUUCCAGAACUUGGUGUAUUGACCUUUCUUCUCAUC
rnacentral:lncRNA from 1 species